UACGGAGGGUGCGAGCGUUGUCCGGAAUUACUGGGCGUAAAGGGCGCGUAGGCGGCGCGGAUAGUCGGCGGUGAAAGCCCGGAGCUCAACUCCGGGUCGGCCGUCGAUACUUCCGGGCUUGAGCACUGUAGAGGCGGAUGGAAUUCCGGGUGUAGCGGUGGAAUGCGUAGAGAUCCGGAAGAACACCGGUGGCGAAGGCGGUCUGCUGGGCAGUUGCUGACGCUGAUGCGCGACAGCGUGGGGAGCAAACAGG
rnacentral:rRNA from 1 species